rnacentral:rRNA from 1 species
GAUGAACGCUAGCGGCAGGCCUAAUACAUGCAAGUCGAACGGUGUAGCAAUACACAGUGGCGCACGGGUGCGUAACACGUAUGCAACCUACCUAUCAUUGGGGGAUAGCCUUUGGAAACGGAGAUUAAUACCGCAUAAGACAGUAACAUGGCAUCAUGGAGCUGCUAAAGCUUCGGCGAUGAAAGAAGGGCAUGAGUCCAAGUAGUUAGUGGGUGAGGUAAUGGCUCACCAAGACGAUGAGUGGUAGGGGAUCCGAGAGGAUAAUCCCCCACACUGGCACUGAGAUACGGGCCAGACUACUACGGGAGGCAGCAGUAGGGAAUAUUGGGCAAUGGACGGAAGUCUGACCCAGCCAUGCCGCGUGCAGGAUGAAGGCGUUAUGCGUUGUAAACUGCUUUUUUAUAGGAAGAAGAAGCCCUUGCGAGGGAAAGUGACGGUACUAUAAGAAUAAGCACCGGCUAACUCCGUGCCAGCAGCCGCCGUAAAAC